UACAGAUAUAUAAAAAUACUGUAUUUUAUAUAUCUAUGGGUCAUACAGACUCAGUGUUGAACGACGUUCAAUUUUAUAGUGAUUCAGUUUCGAUUGUUCCGAAUUCACCGAAUCGUUCAUUUUAGACACUCGUUCAAAUGAACCUGUUCAUUCACGAACGACAUUUUUAAUUCAAGCCCCUUAGGGUCUAGAAAUUUUCUAGACACCCGAUCACCAUUCCGUACCGAAUUUCAGGUGAAACAACCUCGAGCGGCUUCGUGAUGUUCACCAAAAAAAAAAUGGUCAAGUUUAAAAGUCCUAUAAAAAACUUAAAGAAUAAACAUGAGAAGAAAAAUUAUAAUGUAUUUAUUCAAACCAAAAAUGACAAUGAUAAGAUUGUGAUUGACGAUCGAAACACUCAGGGCUGUAUCAUCCAGGACAAUGUCGAAAAAGAUCAAAAUGACAUAAAGAAUACCAAACUUGACAACAGUUACAUCAUUGUUUUGAUAUCUUAAAAAGUAAACUUAGAUACGACUUGUAGGAUUGUCAACGUUAAAUCACUUUCUGAAGGCAAUGACAUUUUACAUAAGAAAGCAGCAACGUCAUCAAGAAAGUAUUGCACAAGGAGCUACCAAAAGACAACAAGCAAUUACCAUUAGUUUUAUUGAUAAAAUCCAGAUGAUUGACUAAACUUUCUCAACUUGAUUUAGAAGAUAAAGCUAUGAAGAAAGGUACAGUAAUUUUUCGCUUUAAAUCUCAAUAUGUA